rnacentral:tRNA from 2 species
UGGAGAAGUGGCAGAGAGGUCGAUUGCGAACGUUUGCUAAACGUUUACAGGUUAAAACUUGUCGCUGGUUCGAAUCCAGUCUUCUCCGU